CACGUAGGAGGCAAACGUUAUCCGGAUUUAUUGGGCGUAAAGCGCGUGUAGGUGGUUUUGUAAGUAGGGCGUGAAAGCUCCUGGCUCAACCGGGAGAGGCCGUUCUAUACUGCAGAGCUAGAGGAUGGUAGAGGGAGGUGGAAUUCCAGGUGUAGCGGUGGAAUGCGCAGAUAUCUGGAGGAACACCAGUGGCGAAGGCGGCCUCCUGGACCAUUCCUGACACUCAGACGCGAAAGCUAGGGUAGCAAAUGGGAUUAGAUACCCGGGUAGUCCCU
rnacentral:rRNA from 1 species